AGAGAGCAAGAGAGAAAGAGAGUGAGAGGGAGUGAAAUGAGAGAGUGUGAGGGAGAGAGGGGGCUCAGCCCAUCUCUAAUAAGGCUAUUUUGCACUUAAACCCCUCAACUUUUCAUCCAUUGCACAGCCCUUACUGGGCAGUUUUCGCCCAGAGGGACCGGUCUCCCCGACAAGGGACCGGUCCCCGAGAGCAGCCCACGCUGCCAGGGGCCUCUUUCGCAUUCGGGAACCGGUCCUCACCUGAGGGACCGGUCCCUGGGAGACCGGUCUCUCCUGAGAGACCGGUUCCCGAAAGGGGAACCUUCAGGACUUAGCCAAAUUUAGGCUUUCUCUCGCGGGCGUCGCUCACGGGGACCGGUUCCCUCAGCCAGGGACCGGUCGCAUUGACCUCCCCCGCGACCAUCGG
rnacentral:lncRNA from 1 species